rnacentral:rRNA from 1 species
AUUGAACGCUGGCGGCAGGCCUAACACAUGCAAGUCGAACGAGUGGCGGACGGGUGAGUAAUGUCUGGGAAACUGCCUGAUGGAGGGGGAUAACUACUGGAAACGGUAGCUAAUACCGCAUACCAUCGGAUGUGCCCAGAUGGGAUUAGCUAGUCGGUGGGGUAACGGCUCACCUAGGCGACGAUCCCUAGCUGAGCUGAGAGGAUGACCAGCCACACUGGAACGGAGACACGGCCCAGACUCCUACGGGAGGCAGCAGUGGGGAAUAUUGCACAAUGGGCGAAAGGCUGAUGCAGAAAUGCCGCGUGAAUGAAGAAGGCUUUCGGAUUGUAAAGUUCUUUCGGCGAGGAAGCGUUACUCAACGAAGAAGCACCGGCUAACUCCGUGCCAGCAGCCGCGGUAAUAC